UUGACCGAAUGUUUCUCUUCAGCCACCGUCUCGAGGAGGGGCGGGUUGUAGCCACCGAAGUGCAGUGGUAUGUGCAGCAGUACGAGUACUCACCUGGAGUUCAGUGUGGGAUGUUUAGCUUUCCUUAGCGGUAUCGGCUUGCGUAAUAAGCGGUCAUUUGUAGUUUAUUAUUAGUGAGCGGAAGUGUUGCCGCUACAAUGUGCAGUUCGAUAUGAUGUGAUUGUCAGGUAUUAUUAUGCGAGGCUGGCCGCGGUCAUCUUGCCGGUUACCGACUACAUGUACUGGUAUCGACUUUGCCGACAAUUUCACUCGAACCGACCACCCAUAGCAGAAAUGAUAAGUUCCGACCUACAGUCUUUUGGGUAGUAGUUGACUAUUCAGGCAAGGCAACAGACUUCAUGUGGAUGUUUGCCAGAGGUCAUCAUCCUCUUAGGACCACACGGGAGACAAUCGGCCUGCCGGAAGUUCAAAGUCAGGACAUUCCCUCGCCGGUACUGGCACUUGAAGAAGGUAGCCUAUGCAAUAGCCACCAUUGGAGAGGUUGACUGAGUUUGAUCAAUUCGUACAAGGGACUUAGGAAGUUUCCUGUCACCGGUUUGAUUGCUAAACAAAGCAAUGUAACUUUGAUCGUUGUGUGAACGUAGUUAGUUUGGCUAUGCAUUUUUGUGGUGAGAAGCUGUGACCCCUCGUUCUUGUACCUUAUUAAAAUGUACAUUUUGCAUUCAGUGGAAUUGGUGACUUUGCCAAGUAUCUCAGGAAAGGAAGGUCUCCUGACCAGUCUGGCAUAGCAGGGCAAUGAGGUUCACUCGUCACUUUGAGCACCCUGGCAAGGUAUAUUCGGGCCUGGUCUAAAUCAGGCAGUGGAAAAUUUAUUUUCCAUUGCUAUCCGGUUUGGCCUCAUUUUCUCUGUGCUGCGCUGAUGAGUCCACCAAAGACGAAACAGUUCUAUCCCCAGUUUCUGU